AUUGAACGCUGGCGGCAGUCCUAACACAUGCAAGUCGCACGAGUGGCGGACGGGUUAGUAAUUUCUUGGAAACUGCCCGUUGGAGGGGGCUAACUACUGGAAACGGUAGCUAAUACCGCAUACCCUCGGAUGUGCCCAGAUGGGAGUAGCUCGUAGGUGUGGUAUCGUCUCACCUAGGCGCAGAUCCCUACCUGGUCUGAGAGGAUGACCAGCCACACUGGAACUGAGACACGGUCCAGACUCCUAAGGGAGGCAGCAGUGGGGAAUAGUGCACAAUGGGCGCAAGCCUGAUGCAGCCAUGCCGCGUGUAUGAAGAAGGCCUUCGGGUUGUAAAGUUCUUUCAGCGAGGAGGCGUUACUCGCAGAAGAAGCACCGGCUAACUCCGUGCCAGCAGCCGCGGUAAUAC
rnacentral:rRNA from 1 species